rnacentral:rRNA from 1 species
AACGAACGCUGGCGGCAGGCCUAACACAUGCAAGUCGAGCGCCCGGGCAACCGGGAGCGGCGCACGGGUGAGUAACACGUGGGAACGUGCCCUAUGGUUCGGAAUAACUCAGGGAAACUUGAGCUAAUACCGGAUAAGCCCUACGGGGGAAAGAUUUAUCGCCAUUGGAGCGGCCCGCGUCUGAUUAGCUAGUUGGUGAGGUAACGGCUCACCAAGGCGACGAUCAGUAGCUGGUGAGAGAACGACCAGCCACACUGGGACUGAGACACGGCCCAGACUCCUACGGGAGGCAGCAGUGGGGAAUCUUGGACAAUGGGGGAAACCCUGAUCCAGCCAUGCCGCGUGAGUGAUGAAGGCCCUAGGGUUGUAAAACUCUUUCGGUCGGGACGAUAAU